AAGACACCACUUUUCUUUUUUUUUUUUCCUCACUUCACUUAGUGUCAAUGUUCAAAAAAUGUUGUUCAAAGGCCUUUACUUGAAUCAUAUCAACAAUCUUGCAGUCACGAUACUAUCAAAUUGCUCCUUGAAACCCUUUGCCGUAAAUACCGCCGCGGUGUUGAUUUGCCCUCCAUCCGACCAAAUCGUUGGACUUGUCAUUGCGUCUUGCCAAAGAAUUUCCAACCCUCGUCAACUGUGACGUCUUGUUGUGAUGAUGAAAACCGGAUUGACGCUGCAUGUUUCAAGUGACCCAAUUACAAUUUUGUUUUUUCUUUUUUGUUCUCAUGUCGCACCAUUUCGGAUGCAUCAUGGUAAAGAGAGAAAAACAGGAUUGGGGAUCAAAAUGUGAGGCGUUGCGAAUAUCUGCCAAGUUGAGUUCAGGGUAGACGUACAGAUCGGAUCACAUACACCCCGUCGGUGUCGGCUUGCCCUCAUCGAAAAUACACCGAUUGCUGAUUUGCACGCACCCACGUUUGCCCAAACAACACAAAUAAAGCACAUUAAAAACUUUUGACUUGAACAAUUAAAUACGGUCAAAGUCCGAUGCAUUGUCCUGAAAAGAGGGAACUAUUUGCAAACAGUGUCCGAUGAAGUCCCGUGCUUGAAAUCGUCUGAAUCAACAAGUGAAGAGUCAACUGAGGCCAGUUAAAGCUUAUGGAAGGUUUCACAUUUGCAUUAUGUAAGCGGUAUUGCUUUUCGUCUCGACCUGGUGUGGGCACGUGUGGGGUUAUUUGCAUGCAGUUUGGAUCUUACUCUGGUUUUCCAUCAGUGUAAACGCAGACCUAUGGGAUACGUCUCACUUCAAAUUUUGGCGGAUUGAUACAUGGUCGUCACUGAUGGAAGAGAACUGCGAAGGCCGUUUGAUCAAAUGAGAUUUUGCCCCGUUUAUCGGUCAAGAAACAAUGCCUCGUUUGACGCGGGUCCAAACAUGUUUUAACUAUAAGGAGGUAGAAUACGGACAUUUUCAAAUACAAAUGGGCAAAAACAAAGAACAACAUUGAACAUUUUCAAAUCUAAUCCAAUCAUUGAAGUUACAAAAAAAGUUGAAUUUUGGACUUUCCAAACAUUUGAUUGCGUGAUUAUUUGAAAUGAUACUCUUUGGCAUAAGGGUCAUCAAAGUGACUUUCUGUAAACCUGUUAGAUCUGUUUCUGCGGAAUAGCAAAGCAAUCUUCCUGGUUCACUUUGAUCAAAAAAAAAAAAGCACCCAAACUAUUUGACAUUGUUCUCCACUACUCACCAUUCCAGUCAAUCUGUAUGGUUGAGUACACUUUUCAGGCCUUGAAACACACACCUUUGUUUAGACUUCAAAAUGGCUCAACUGGACCUGUGACAUAACAGGAGAGUUGACGUACAUCAUUUCAAAGCCCCGAGCUGUGUUUGAACCGUCAUUGCUGAUACGCUUUAUAUUUUGGUUCGGGUUGGGCCUUUUGGCACCGAUUGUACUUCAAGUGUAGAAAACGGAUGGCUGGAUGCGAUUGGUUGCUGCAGAAAUGGAGCAAGCUCCUCGAUUGAGCCGACGAAAUGUCACCUUCGAGAACUUGAACAAAACUGUCAAAAUUUGUGCCACUUUUCACAAUAGCCUCUUUCACGCGACGUUUUGUCGCGUUCAUUUUCUUGCGCCUUUCACGUGUAGCCCAUCGAUCGGAUGGGGCGUUACCAUUGCGUUUGUUGGCCAGCGUCAAGAGGUCAGAGAAGUGAGUCUCGGGUGUUCAAAGUUUACACUUCUGGUUGCGGCUUUCUCUGCAUCCCUUUUACGUGGCCAGCGCUGCACCUCAGUACUGCUUUUAAAACGACGGUAAUUCCCUCAAAAAUUGAAGGGGGACAGGGACAGAGCCAUGCCCUGAAUGGCAAAAAAUAAUGGUGAGUUAUUGACACGCCCCUAAAAUUGUCUACAUUAAUAGUCUAAACCACAAAUCGAUAAGAUGUGAACCCGAAACACAUGAAUAUACUUUGUCGUUUUAAACUCAUCUUCCAACAUGACUUUUAAAGAUAAUUGCCUGUCAGACUAGUUUAUGAAAACAAAAACAUGCAGCAAAGACUCUCCCCAACUUCGGCUUCCAAACUUGGCUUCUCCUCAACAUCCAAAUGUUUUAGUCUCUCAGUUUUAAUCGCAUAUCUUAUCAUGUCUACAUACGUCUUUGACACCCUUUACUCAUCUGCAGCCAUAUCUCGACAUGUUCUUUUGUUUCUUUUUAGAAUCAGCAAACAAGCAGCUGUUGAAUGAAUGUCAGUGAGGUUCCAUCAAUUGUGGUGGCACACCGAACGAUAUGUCGGAACUCGCUGAAUUCAGAGUCUCGCUGAUAUGAGUCUGUUUUUAGUGGGCGGCUCUGGCUCAUACGGUGCAAAUGAGACACUUGUCUCUUCUCAAGUAUGGCUUUGGUGACUACUUAAUGAGUCCCGACUAUAAAAAAAAUGAGUGCGAAAUGUAAAGCGCACAACGGCCCUUCAGGAAGACCGUAAAGACAUUCAGCAUACGGUGCCUUGAAAAAGACUUCGUACGACUUGAACCUUUUCACAUUUUGUGACCGCACAUGUAUUUUCACUCGCGGCGGCAGCACUUCAUCAUCAAGCAACUGUCAGCUAGUUUGGCGAUCCCUACAGACAAACAAACAAACACACACAAGUCAAGGCCGCUCUGCAUACCGUUUGGCUUUGACUUACUUUCAGGUUACGUACUUCAGCAGUCACGCGAAAAGUGGCGGUUCUCCAACUGUGCCAAGCUGUGGUCAGAGCAACUUUUGUCUGUUACAUAACACAACAUUGGCAGCUCAUAAGCGAUUCAUUUGGUGGCUUAUUUUCACACUUGCUGAACAGCCAAACAUUCCGCAGGGAACCCGGCUGAAGUCAAUUUUCCAUAAUGUGUCAUCUUUAAUUUCAGCGGGAAAAUCUAUGGGAUGUUUGCCGUGGCCGUAUGCCCCCCACUGCCCCAAA